CGGUGAAAGCCGUAAGCCGCAAGGCAUCUGUGAAGGUGCUGCAUGGUUGUCGUCAGCUCGUGCCGUGAGGUGUCGGCUUAAGUGCCAUAACGAGCGCAACCCUUGUUGUCAGUUACUAACAGGUUCCGCUGAGGACUCUGACAAGACUGCCAUCGUAAGAUGUGAGGAAGGUGGGGAUGACGUCAAAUCAGCACGGCCCUUACGUCCGGGGCUACACACGUGUUACAAUGGGGGGUACAGAGGGCCGCUACCACGCGAGUGGAUGCCAAUCCCCAAAACCUCUCUCAGUUCGGACUGGAGUCUGCAACCCGACUCCACGAAGCUGGAUUCGCUAGUAAUCGCGCAUCAGCCACGGCGCGGUGAAUACGUUCCCGGGCCUUGUACACACCGCCCGUCAAGCCAUGGGAGCCGGGGGUACCUGAAGUGCGUAACCGCGAGGAGCGCCCUAGGGUAAAACUGGUGACUGGGGCUAAGUCGUAACAAGGUAGCCGUACCGGAAGGUGCGGCUGGAUCACCUC
rnacentral:rRNA from 1 species